AUUGAACGCUGGCGGCAUGCUUUACACAUGCAAGUCGGACGGCAGCACAGAGAAGCUUGCUUCUUGGGUGGCGAGUGGCGAACGGGUGAGUAACAUAUCGGAACGUACCGAGCAGUGGGGGAUAACUAAUCGAAAGAUUAGCUAAUACCGCAUAUUUUCUGAGGAAGAAAGCAGGGGACCUUUGGGCCUUGCGCUGUUUGAGCGGCCGAUAUCUGAUUAGCUAGUUGGUGGGGUAAAGGCCUACCAAGGCGACGAUCAGUGGCGGGUCUGAGAGGAUGAUCCGCCACACUGGGACUGAGACACGGCCCAGACUCCUACGGGAGGCAGCAGUGGGGAAUUUUGGACAAUGGGCGCAAGCCUGAUCCAGCCAUGCCGCGUGUCUGAAGAAGGCCUUCGGGUUGUAAAGGACUUUUGUCAGGGAAGAAAAGGGCGGGGUUAAUACCCCUGUCUGAUGACGGUACCUGAAGAAUAAGCACCGGCUAACUACGUG
rnacentral:rRNA from 1 species